rnacentral:rRNA from 1 species
AGAACGAACGCUGGCGGCAGGCCUAACACAUGCAAGUCGAACGCUCUCGCAAGAGAGAGUGGCGCACGGGUGCGUAACGCGUGGGAAUGUACCUCUAGGUACGGAACAACCCAGGGAAACUUGGGCUAAUACCGUAUAAUAUCUUCGGAUCAAAGAUUUAUCGCCUAGAGAUCAGCCCGCGUAGGAUUAGCUAGUUGGUGAGGUAAUGGCUCACCAAGGCUACGAUCCUUAGCUGGUCUGAGAGGAUGAUCAGCCACACUGGAACUGAGACACGGUCCAGACUCCUACGGGAGGCAGCAGUGAGGAAUAUUGGACAAUGGGGGCAACCCUGAUCCAGCCAUGCCGCGUGAGUGAUGAAGGCCUUCGGUUGUAAAACUCUUUAGGUGUGACGAUGAUGACGGUAACACCAGAAAAGCUCCGGCUAACUUCGUGCCAGCAGCCGC